rnacentral:sRNA from 1 species
AGGGAUGGAAAUAUGCCUGAAUGUCAACAUGAUUCGGGAAACCAAUCACAGAGACCCUCUAACCUUGUUUUCCCUUAUGUGCUGUGGAGACUCCUCAGUCCCCAAGCUCAGAUCUACUGUGGGAGCCCACUGGCUGCCCAGGAGAAGAUUGGCUGGCGAAAGGAUGCACUGCAUUUGCUGGUGUUCACAACGGAUGAUGUGCCCCACAUCGCAUUGGAUGGAAAAUUGGGAGGCCUGGUGCAGCCACACGAUGGCCAGUGCCACCUGAACGAGGCCAACGAGUACACUGCAUCCAACCAGAUGGACUAUCCAUCCCUUGCCUUGCUUGGAGAGAAAUUGGCAGAGAACAACAUCAACCUCAUCUUUGCAGUGACGAAAAACCAUUAUAUGCUGUACAAGAAUUUUACAGCCCUGAUACCUGGAACAACGGUGGAGAUUUUAGAUGGAGACUCCAAAAAUAUUAUUCAACUGAUUAUUAAUGCAUACAAU